rnacentral:rRNA from 1 species
UACAGAGGGUGCGAGCGUUGUUCGGAAUUAUUGGGCGUAAAGCGCGCGCAGGCGGGAUGGUAAGUCGGAUGUGAAAGCCCUCGGCUCAACCGAGGAAGUGCGUUCGAAACUACUGUUCUUGAGUGUCGGAGAGGGUGGCGGAAUUCCCGGUGUAGAAGUGAAAUUCGUAGAUAUCGGGAGGAACACCAGAGGCGAAGGCGGCCACCUGGACGAACACUGACGCUGAGGCGCGAAAGCGUGGGGAGCAAAC